AACGUAGGAGGCGAGCGUUAUCCGGAUUUACUGGGCGUAAAGCGCACGCAGGUGGCACAGCAAGUUGGAUGUGAAAGCUCCUGGCUUAACUGGGAGAGGCCAUUCGAAACUGCUGAGCUUGAGGUUGGGAGAGGGGUGUGGAAUUCCCGGUGUAGUGGUGGAAUGCGUAGAUAUCGGGAGGAACACCAGUGGCGAAAGCGGCACCCUGGCCCACACCUGACGCUGAGGUGCGAAAGCGUGGGGAGUAAAC
rnacentral:rRNA from 1 species